AUACCCACAUGUUGAAAGCUCCGAGCCUGCUCAGACUGCCAACUUUUAGGGUUCAUGAUUCAACUCCAUAAGGUUAAUGGAAGGCAUACUCAUACUUGAUGGUAUACUAAACGUAAUACAGACUACGAAAUUAUCGAAGCAGUCGAUGGCAGAAGUGGUUGACCGUCUAUAUAAAUAAACACUAUCAUGUGCACACCUCAUAAUGAGAUUUAUAUAAUUAUGUCUUAUUUCUAGUCACUCAAAUUCUUUUCCCUUCAGUAAUAAACAUUUGCCAUUAUUUCCGGUUGUACUAUCAGUUCAUUUUGCUCUUUGCGCAAAUGAAAUUUUUCGAAAUGUGGACAAAAACAUAUAGCAACUGUAAUUCCAACGAGUGAACGACUUGAUUUUCUUAAACGGGACCAGUAUUUAGCCGCAACGACCGAGAGAAUGAUUCAAUUGCUCGUGUGGAUUUAUUCUACCUCAAUUAGUUCUUUCUGACUUUUUCGAGUCAUUAGUGAACUUAAACAGUUUUUUACUAAUUUUUACAUAAAAUCGUUAUUUUUUGUUUGAUAGCUGUUGAUAUUUAUUUUUUAAUUAAAUUGUAGAUCACCAAUGGCCUUUCAAAAGAUUACAAGACUCUUUACCCUUCUCUCUCUAGGCGGCAGAUAUUCCGCUUUUCAAGAACUGAUGUGUCCAACCGCUGAAGAAGGAAUAACGUAACAUUCUGAGCAGCAGAUAUGCGCAGCUCAUGCUGCUGAAAUCGGAAAAUUACGACCACCUGCAGCCCAGAGAAUGAAUAAUAUCAGAACGGAAGUACCAACAAAGUUGACAAUGGAGCUGUUUUAAACACGGUUUCGCAUUUUUCGCAUUGCCUGAGUAACUUUCAGCAGAAAGUUGGGCACACAAAAAUAGUUCUUUGCUUUGACGUUAUGUUUCCGUUCAUAGGAAUAAUGUAAAAUCAAUAACAGUAAUCUAUUGCAUACAUAAAAAAGUCGAUAUACAGAAAUAAUAUAUGAACGCCAGUCGAA
rnacentral:lncRNA from 1 species